rnacentral:snoRNA from 1 species
AAGAUCGUACUUCUAGGGAUCACUCCUAUAGUACGCAUCACCAGGACGUCAGUCAAAUCUGCUCCUGGCUACCCAACCGUGAUGACGACGCGUGUCGUCCGUCCGUCAGCGUGAUACGGC